rnacentral:rRNA from 1 species
UGCCAGACUCCUACGGGAGGCAGCAGUGAGGAAUAUUGGUCAAUGGGCUUACGCCUGAACCAGCCAAGUCGCGUGAGGGAAGACUGCCCUAUGGGUUGUAAACCUCUUUUGUCAGGGAGCAAAGGGCGCCACGUGUGGCGCUUUGCGAGUACCUGAAGAAAAAGCAUCGGCUAACUCCGUGCCAGCAGCCGCGGUAAUACGGAGGAUGCGAGCGUUAUCCGGAUUUAUUGGGUUUAAAGGGUGCGCAGGCGGAAUGUCAAGUCAGCGGUAAAAUUUCGGGGCUCAACCUCGCUCCGCCGUUGAAACUGGCGUUCUUGAGUGGGCGAGAAGUAUGCGGAAUGCGUGGUGUAGCGGUGAAAUGCAUAGAUAUCACGCAGAACUCCGAUUGCGAAGGCAGCAUACCGGCGCCCAACUGACGCUGAAGCACGAAAGCGUGGGUAUCGAACAGGAUUAGAUACCCGCGUAU